rnacentral:rRNA from 1 species
AUUGAACGCUGGCGGCAGGCUUAACACAUGCAAGUCGAGCGGGGACUUCGGUCCUAGCGGCGAACGGGUGAGGAAUGCUUGGGAAUCUGCCUUGUAGUGGGGGAUAACGUUUCGAAAGGAACGCUAAUACCGCAUACGUCCUACGGGAGAAAGGGGGGGAUCUUCGGACCGCUCGCUAUACGAUGCGCCCAAGUCGGAUUAGCUAGUUGGGGGGGUAAAGGCUCACCAAGGCGACGAGCCGUAGCUGGUCUGAGUGGAUGAUCAGCCACACUGGAACUGAGACACGGUCCAGACUCCUACGGGAGGCAGCAGUGGGGAAUAUUGGACAAUGGGCGAAAGCCUGAUCCAGCCAUGCCGCGUGUGUGAAGAAGGCCUUCGGGUUGUAAAGCACUUUAAGCGAGGAGGAAUGGCUCUGGGUUAAUACCCUUGAGCAGUGACGUUACUCGCAGAAUAAGCACCGGCUAACUCUGUGCCAGCCGCCGCCGUAAAAC